rnacentral:rRNA from 1 species
AGGGUUUGAUUAUGGCUCAGGAUGAACGCUAGCGGCAGGCCUUAUACAUGCAAGUCGAACGGUAACAUUGGUGCUUGCACCAGAUGACGAGUGGCGGACGGGUGCGUAACGCGUAUGCAACCUACCUUUUACUAGAGAAUAGCCCAGAGAAAUUUGGAUUAAUCCUCUAUAAUAUCAUUAAAUCACAUGUUUUUUUGAUUAAAGUUUUAACGGUAAAAGAUGGGCAUGCGUCUUAUUAGUUUGUAGGUGAGGUAACGGCUCACCUAGACUACGAUAAGUAGGGGCCCUGAGAGGGGGAUCCCCCACACUGGUACUGAGACACGGACCAGACUCCUACGGGAGGCAGCAGUAAGGAAUAUUGGACAAUGGACGAAAGUCUGAUCCAGCCAUGCCGCGUGCAGGAUGACUGCCCUAUGGGUUGUAAACUGCUUUUAUACAGGAAGAAACACUCCGACGUGUCGGAGCUUGACGGUACUGUAAGAAUAAGGAUCGGCUAACUCCGUGCCAGCAGCCGCGGUAAUUC